rnacentral:rRNA from 1 species
AUUGAACGCUGGCGGUAGGCCUAACACAUGCAAGUCGAACGAGGGGCGGACGUGUGAGGAAUACAUCGGAAUCUACUCUGUCGUGGGGGAUAACGUAGGGAAACUUACGCUAAUACCGCAUACGCUUGAAUGAGCCGAUGUCGGAUUAGCUAGUUUGCGGGAUAAAGGCCCACCAAGGCGACGAUCUGUAGCUGGUCUGAGAGGAUGAUCAGCCACACUGGAACUGAGACACGGUCCAGACUCCUACGGGAGGCAGCAGUGGGGAAUAUUGGACAAUGGGCGCAAGCCUGAUCCAGCCAUACCGCGUGGGUGAAGAAGGCCUUCGGGUUGUAAAGCCCUUUUGUUGGGAAAGCGGUACCCAAAGAAUAAGCACCGGCUAACUUCGUGCCAGCAGCCGCGGUAAGUC